rnacentral:rRNA from 1 species
UGCAGUCGAACGAUGAACCGCUUUCGGGCGGGGAUUAGUGGCGAACGGGUGAGUAACACGUGGGCAAUCUGCCCUGCACUCUGGGACAAGCCCUGGAAACGGGGUCUAAUACCGGAUAUGACUGUCCGCCGCAUGGUGGAUGGUGUAAAGCUCCGGCGGUGCAGGAUGAGCCCGCGGCCUAUCAGCUUGUUGGUGAGGUAGUGGCUCACCAAGGCGACGACGGGUAGCCGGCCUGAGAGGGCGACCGGCCACACUGGGACUGAGACACGGCCCAGACUCCUACGGGAGGCAGCAGUGGGGAAUAUUGCACAAUGGGCGAAAGCCUGAUGCAGCGACGCCGCGUGAGGGAUGACGGCCUUCGGGUUGUAAACCUCUUUCAGCAGGGAAGAAGCGAAAGUGACGGUACCUGCAGAAGAAGCGCCGGCUAACUACGUGCCAGCAGCCGCGGUAAUACGUAGGGCGCAAGCGUUGUCCGGAAUUAUUGGGCGUAAAGAGCUCGUAGGCGGCUUGUCACGUCGGUUGUGAAAGCCCGGGGCUUAACCCCGGGUCUGCAGUCGAUACGGGCAGGCUAGAGUUCGGUAGGGGAGAUCGGAAUUCCUGGUGUAGCGGUGAAAUGCGCAGAUAUCAGGAGGAACACCGGUGGCGAAGGCGGAUCUCUGGGCCGAUACUGACGCUGAGGAGCGAAAGCGUGGGGAGCGAACAGGAUUAGAUACCCUGGUAGUCCACGCCGUAAACGGUGGGCACUAGGUGUGGGCAACAUUCCACGUUGUCCGUGCCGCAGCUAACGCAUUAAGUG